rnacentral:sRNA from 1 species
GCCAGGCAUGGUGGUGCAUGCCUGUAAUCCCAGCGGCUUGGGGGGCUGAGACAGGAGGAUCAAGAAUUCAAAGCCAGCCUAAGCAAAGGCACUAAGCAGCUCAGUGAGACCCUGUCUCUA